AUUUGAUGGCAUCAUUAAAUAUUGAAAGCUCCGGCGGAUAGAGAUGGGCACGCGCAAGAUUAGCUAGUUGGUGAGGUAACGGCUCACCAAGGCAAUGAUCGUUUAGGGGCCUGAGAGGGUGAUCCCCCACACUGGUACUGAGACACGGACCAGACUCCUACGGGAGGCAGCAGUGAGGAAUAUUGGUCAAUGGGUGCAAGCCUGAACCAGCCAUCCCGCGUGAAGGACGACUGCCUAUGGGUUGUAAACUUCUUUUGUAUAGGGAUAAACCUACUCUCGUGAGAGUAGCUGAAGGUACUAUACGAAUAAGCACCGGCUAACUCCGUG
rnacentral:rRNA from 1 species